ensembl:lncRNA
GAUGGCGCCAAAGCGCUGCGCUGGAGUUGAAGACGGACAGCCGCGCGCGCGUGGUCGCCUUAACAACGCAGUCGACGCAGAUGGUAACUGACGUAACGCUUAGUUCGCUAGCGCGUCAAGUCAGUCAGUCAGUCAGUCAGCUAUAGCCAAGAUUUAAAAUACAUAUAUAUUUUUUUUAAAUGAUUUGUAGCCUAAACGUUUGUGUUGAAAGUGAGCUGUAGUUUCGUUUUUUGCCUGCCAAAAACGUUUUAAUUCUUUGUUUUACUGCUGCACCUUGCUUAAUAAAGGUGUAUGUAAUGCUAGCUAGCUAACAGCUUGCUAACUGUUAACCGUUUGACCGUCCCUGUUUGUGAGACCUAUUGAAAUGGAUGACCAUGAUUCCCUGGGCAGUAUGGACAGCUUACUUCUUCAGCUAGCUCUGCAAACCAGGGACAUCGCUCAGAAGAGGGAUCAGAUCAAUCAACAGAUUCAAAUCGGCAAAGCCAAUGUUGCUGAGAAGAAAUCCUACGUCAUAGGGAUCCAGAAAAACAUCAGGAAGCUCGAGGAGGAAUCUCAUCAUAAGCAGAACAUUGUGAAGCAUCUCAAAGGCAAUACGAAAAGUCUAAAGGGAACUAACGGCCUCCUGCUGCAGUAUGAGAAGACGCUGCAGGCUGAAUUGGAGAGGAGACGAGACAACUGUAAUCAAGACAUGAAAGUGUACCAGGAGAGAAUAGAGCGCUACAGGAAGGUUUUCCAGCAGCACAAAGAGAGUUACUGCAAGAACCCUCUGGCCAAGCAGCUACUGAUGAUUCAGUCAGGAAAAGAAGAGCUGGAAAGCAGGAUCAAAGCUUGUGAGGACCAGAUAACAGCCAAAGAGAAGGCUCUGCAGGAUCUACUAGGUCAAACAUUGUCCAUCGAAAACCCAUUGGAAAGCAUCUCUGGUCUAUUGACGACAGCAGAGUCUCACAGACAGCCAUCGGCUCAGACUGAGGAUGACCAUCAGUCUCCACUAGACAUCUCCUCCCUCCAUGUUUCCCAGAAGGAGUGUCUGAACACCUCCAGUACAGUGGGGAUGGAGGAGGUGAAGGAGAGGGGGAUUGAGGGAGGAGAAGAACAGCCUACACCCCUCAUUACUGAGGCGGAGGAGAAUGAAGGGAUGGGAGCAGCAUUCUCUCCUCAGACUCCUGCUAGAAUGAAAGCUGUGUCCAGCACCCCAACCUUUUCCCUGAACAGUAGCCACAGUGGGUCACCUAGUCAGCUAGACGGAUCCACAGUGAAAUCCCCAGGCUUCCUGUUCUCCAUGAGCUCAGCUCCUAGCCCCACCACCCCCGACUUCUCUGGCUUCCACUGUGGCUUUGAACUGGGCUCAGGCCAGGAGGAAGAGCCUCCUUUCCCCUUCAGCAGCUCAUAUUUCAGCAGUGAAAAGAAACCGUCAGGAUCCAGAUCGCCAUCAGGCUUCCUGUUUGCCCGGCCAGAGUCGGAGAAGUCAGAAGAUGGAUUUGAGUUCCCCUUCAGCUCUAAGAGUCCUGGUCAACCGUCAACCAGCAGAGAGAAGGGAUCAGGGGCUGGGGACUCCUUCCCUUUCUCCUUUAACUUCUAG